UGAGCUCUAAGGUCUCUUGCAACCCAAACCAGUCUGGGAUUCUAUGAUUCUGUGAUUUUGUUCAAUACCUUUAGCACUGGAUGUAAUUCUUAAAUGAUGGGCAAAAUGAACCAUAGAUUCCUUCAAGUGCCAUACAUGCUAGUAAGGGUAAGAAUGGAAAAGUAAAUUGUGUUUUAUUCACCAGUGUCAGGAAACAUUACCAAAUUCAGGUUCCUCUUCAUCCUGCAACAACACCCACCGCAUCUUCAGGACCUGCAUAUGCAUCUUGUUCCAGUGCUAACUAGUGCAGUUAGUUAAUGGCACCAUGUCUUGAGUGCAGACACCUCCUGCCAGUGAAUACACCCUCUUGCAUUGGAUGUGAGUCACCAAUAGCUCCACAGCUGCAGCCCCAAACCAACAUCUGCGUAAAGAUACUGGACUUUCUGUUUUGUGUGAGUGCAGUGACUAAGCAAACUGACACUAGUCUAUACAAACAUGGGGAGGUAUUGAUGCUGGAUCUCCUGAGGGAACUGGACCGUACUUUAAAAUGAAUUGUCACCAAGAUCCAUGGAUUUGUGAUGAGCAGGCACUAUGGCCU